GGCGGCGUGCCUAAUACAUGCAAGUCGAACGCACUGACGUCGACAGAAGGUGCUUGCACUGGAAGUUGAUUGACGUGAGUGGCGGACGGGUGAGUAACACGUGGGUAACCUGCCCUUAAGCGGGGGAUAACAUUUGGAAACAGAUGCUAAUACCGCAUAAAAGUUGAGAUCACAUGGUCUUAAUUUGGAAGACGGCCUUUGGCUGUCACUUAAGGAUGGACCCGCGGCGUAUUAGCUAGUUGGUGAGAUAAUAGCCCACCAAGGCGAUGAUACGUAGCCGACCUGAGAGGGUAAUCGGCCACAUUGGGACUGAGACACGGCCCAAACUCCUACGGGAGGCAGCAGUAGGGAAUCUUCCACAAUGGACGAAAGUCUGAUGGAGCAACGCCGCGUGAGUGAAGAAGGUUUUCGGAUCGUAAAACUCUGUUGUUGGAGAAGAACAGGGACUAGAGUAACUGUUAGUCCUUUGACGGUAUCCAACCAGAAAGCCACGGCUAACUACGUGCCAGCAGCCGCGGUAAUACGUAGGUGGCAAGCGUUGUCCGGAUUUAUUGGGCGUAAAGCGAGCGCAGGCGGUUUCUUAAGUCUGAUGUGAAAGUCUUCGGCUUAACCGAAGAAGUGCAUCAGAUACUGGGAAACUUGAGUGCAGAAGAGGAAAGUGGAACUCCAUGUGUAGCGGUGAAAUGCGUAGAUAUAUGGAAGAACACCAGUGGCGAAGGCGGCUUUCUGGUCUGUAACUGACGCUGAGGCUCGAAAGUAUGGGGAGCGAACAGGAUUAGAUACCCUGGUAGUCCAUACCGUAAACGAUGAAUGCUAAGUGUUGGAGGGUUUCCGCCCUUCAGUGCUGCAGCUAACGCAUUAAGCAUUCCGCCUGGGGAGUACGACCGCAAGGUUGAAACUCAAAGGAAUUGACGGGGGCCCGCACAAGCGGUGGAGCAUGUGGUUUAAUUCGAAGCUACGCGAAGAACCUUACCAGGUCUUGACAUCUAGCGCCAAUCCUAGAGAUAGGACGUUCCCUUCGGGGACGCUAAGACAGGUGGUGCAUGGUUGUCGUCAGCUCGUGUCGUGAGAUGUUGGGUUAAGUCCCGCAACGAGCGCAACCCUUAUGAUUAGUUGCCAGCAUUUAGUUG
rnacentral:rRNA from 1 species